UGCGACAGUUCAAAGUUUUGUACUUUCCAGACCUACACAACGAAUUAUCUAUUUGAAAAAUAGAAUAUGGUUAAAAAUUGCUGAUGUGAUAGAGGAUUCAAGUACCAUUUACAAACAAAAUAUUGAAGAGAAUGUGCUCGAAAGGAAAUUCAUAUGAAUUCUUUUUUGGUGACCAGGAUGGAAAAAGUCAUUGGAACCCAUAGUUAGAAUAAGAAUAAGUUAGGCCUAGAGGCGUACCAGCCAGAAGUAGAGGAUGACAAAGAAAAUCAACUAUGAAUAAUAUUCCAUGGAUAUGAUUCAUGUAUGAUGUAGUAGCCUACAGAAGAAAGAGAUGGACUAAUCUAAGAAAUAUAUUCAUUUUUCAGUACAUCUUGAUG